rnacentral:tRNA from 1 species
GCGAGAGUGGUGAAAUUGGUAGACACGCUAGCCUUAGGAGCUAGUGCCUUUGGCAUAAGGGUUCAAGUCCCUUCUCUCGCAC